ensembl:rRNA 5_8S_rRNA 5.8S ribosomal RNA
AACUCUCAGCGGUGGAUCACUUGGCUCAUGCGUUAAUGAAGAAGGCAGCUAGCUGCAAGAAUUAAUGUGAAUUGGAUGACAUUGAUCAUCGACACUUGGAACUCACUUGCGGACCAGGGUUCUUCCAGGGGCUAUGCCUGUCUGAGCAUAG